rnacentral:ncRNA from 2 species
UACAGAGGUCCCAAGCGUUGUUCGGAUUCACUGGGCGUAAAGGGUGCGUAGGCGGCAGGGUAAGUCUGACGUGAAAUCUCCGGGCUCAACCCGGAAACUGCGUUGGAUACUAUCCUGCUCGAGGAAUGGAGGGGAGACUGGAAUACUUGGUGUAGCAGUGAAAUGCGUAGAUAUCAAGUGGAACACCAGUGGCGAAGGCGAGUCUCUGGACAUUUCCUGACGCUGAGGCACGAAAGCCAGGGGAGCAAACGGG